GACGUCACGAUGUCACGAUGUCACGAUGUCACGAUGUCACGAUGUCACGACGUCACGACGUCACGACGUCACGACGUCACGACGUC
rnacentral:miRNA from 14 species